AAUGAACGUUGGCGGCGUGGAUUAGGCAUGCAAGUCGAGCGAGAAUUUGCGAUUGGAAGCUUCGGCCGAAGAAAGUGAAGGAAAGCGGCAAACGGCGUAGUAAGGCGUAGGUACGUACCCUCGGGUCGGGAAUAGCCAUGGGAAACUGUGGGUAAUGCCCGAUAAUCUCUGCGGAGCAAAGAUGUGAUUCCGCCGGAGGAGCGGCUUACGUGAUAUUAGCUAGUUGGUGGGGUAAUGGCCUACCAAGGCAACGAUGUCUAGGGGGUGUGAGAGCAUGGCCCCCACGACCGGAACUGAGACACUGUCCGGACACCUACGGGUGGCUGCAGUCGAGAAUCUUCCGCAAUGGGCGAAAGCCUGACGGAGCGACGCCGCGUGGUGGAUGAAGGCCCUUGGGUUGUAAACACCUGUCAGAGGGGAUGAAAUCAUGGUUGGCAAUCCUUCCAUGUUGACAGAGCCUCAGAGGAAGCACGGGCUAAGUACGUGCCAGCAGCCG
rnacentral:rRNA from 1 species